rnacentral:lncRNA from 10 species
GUCUCACUAUGUUGCCCAGGCUGGUCUCGAACUAGAUCUCCAUAACGUUUUUGCGGGGGGGCGGGUUGGUUUUUUGUUUUGUUUUGUUUUUUUUGAGACAGGGUAUCACUUUGUCACCCAGGCUGGAGCAUACUGGCACCAUCGUGGCUCACUGCAACCUCCAACUCCCAGGCUCAAGUGAUCAUCCCACCUCAGCCUCCACAGUAGCUGGGACUUCAGGCGCACACCACCAUGCCCAGCUAAUUUUAGUUUUUUGUUUUUGUUUUUUGUAGAGAUGGGGUUUCACCAUGCUGCCCAGUCUGGAUCUCCAUAAUUCUUAAUAGCUAUGUAUGAGUCUACUAUUUGAAUAUGCCAGGAUUUAUUAUAUCGAUCCUUUACAGAUGGUCAUUGGAACUGUUUCCAAUUAACCUCUAUUAUAAACAUCAUCUACUGAACAACUUCCUGCACGUCAUUGGCAUGUUGGCACGAGCCUAUAGUCCCAGCUACUCAGGAGGCUGAGGUGGGAGGAUCACUUGAGCCCAGGAGGUCGAAGUUGCAGUGAGCUGAGAUGGCACCACUGCACUACAGACUGGGUGACAGCAAGACCCUGUCUC